UUUCGCCAUCCUACCCUGUAUGCAUCUGAUUUCAUUUGCUUUUGGGAAUUAAGCAAGAUGGGGCCUGAUUAGUAUGUGGGGGAUAAAGCCUUUUUAAAAUGCAGGUUAUAGCAGAAU
rnacentral:rRNA from 1 species